rnacentral:tRNA from 1 species
CGGAUAGCUCAGUCGGUAGAGCAGAGGAUUGAAAAUCCUCGUGUCGGUGGUUCGAUUCCGCCUCCG